rnacentral:sRNA from 1 species
GCAAUACCGACUACUUCAAACGUAGCGGUGACUACAGCUACACCCGUUCAAGUAACUUCGUCAGUCAGAUGUCUGUCCUGUAUUGGAAGUGAAUGUCUGACGUCUUCACCUAUUGGACAGUGUACUGGGGGUUUCUGUAGACACAUAGUGAAUCAUCUAAGUACUGGUCAAAUUUUUCAAGAGAAAGGCUGUGCCACAAGGGAAGAGUGUCACUUGUUGUGGACCUCUGAAGAUACUAUUAUAAAACAGGAAUGCAUUUUUGCUUUAGAUCCGAACC